ACGUUUCGAGGACGCUAAUACCGCAUACGUCCUACGGGAGAAAGCAGGGGACCUUCGGGCCUUGCGCUAUCAGAUGAGCCUAGGUCGGAUUAGCUAGUAGGUGAGGUAAUGGCUCACCUAGGCGACGAUCCGUAACUGGUCUGAGAGGAUGAUCAGUCACACUGGAACUGAGACACGGUCCAGACUCCUACGGGAGGCAGCAGUGGGGAAUAUUGGACAAUGGGCGAAAGCCUGAUCCAGCCAUGCCGCGUGUGUGAAGAAGGUCUUCGGAUUGUAAAGCACUUUAAGUUGGGAGGAAGGGCAGUAAGUUAAUACCUUGCUGUUUUGACGUUACCGACAGAAUAAGCACCGGCUAACUCUGUGCCAGCGGCCGCGGUAUUACAGAGGGUGCAAGCGUUAAUCGAAAUUACUGGGCGUAAAGCGCGCGUAGGUGGUUCG
rnacentral:rRNA from 1 species